rnacentral:lncRNA from 1 species
ACGGAAAGGGUCAAAAGUAAAAAGAGCAGCAUAAGCUAUAUUUAAUAGCUUAUGCUGCUUUGUAGCAUAAGCUAUAUUCGACGUACCGAAAGGGUCAAUAUCUAUUUGUCUGGUUAUGCUGCAUUUUAAUCGCAUAUGCUAUAUUACAAAUACUGACUAUGCUAUAUUUUCAAAUUGUAGCAUAUGCUGUACUAUUUCAAACACAUCAAUAAAGGGU